rnacentral:rRNA from 1 species
AUUGAACGCUGGCGGCAGGCCUAACACAUGCAAGUCGAACGGUAACAGGAAGCAGCUUGCUGCUUUGCUGACGAGUGGCGGACGGGUGAGUAAUGUCUGGGAAACUGCCUGAUGGAGGGGGAUAACUACUGGAAACGGUAGCUAAUACCGCAUAACGUCGCAAGACCAAAGAGGGGGACCUUCGGGCCUCUUGCCAUCGGAUGUGCCCAGAUGGGAUCAGCUAGUAGGUGGGGUAACGGCUCACCUAGGCGACGAUCCCUAGCCGGUCUGAGAGGAUGACCAGCCACACUGGAACUGAGACACGGUCCAGACUCCUACGGGAGGCAGCAGUGGGGAAUAUUGCACAAUGGGCGCAAGCCUGAUGCAGCCAUGCCGCGUGUAUGAAGAAGGCCUUCGGGUUGUAAAGUACUUUCAGCGGGGAGGAAGGGAGUAAAGUUAAUACCUUUGCUCAUUGACGUUACCCGCAGAAGAAGCACCGGCUAACUCCGUG